rnacentral:lncRNA from 1 species
CUUUUCCAAGAAGAAAAGAGCUGUAUUCGGGUCAUCAUGGAGUUGGUUCUCAUUUGCAGCAUAUACAUAGUUGAAUGGGCUUACUCCAACAUAAACCGGCUUUCCCUUGUGUCCUGUACUUACGGAUACUCCUCCUUUGCCAACACCAACACUGGUUCUUUUGUCAGGCUUUCCAGUGUUUACACCAACGCCCUUACCCCCAACAUUCACAUGGGUGCCACCACCGGGCUUUCCUUUCCCUGCAUCCACAUUGACACCACCCUUCCCUACGUUGACAGAGGUGCUUUUGUCUUCCAGCACAUCUGCAAAUAUAGUAACAAUAUUAGAAGAGACCUUUUAAUACAGACUAAGGGUUAGUCUCAUAAACAGUGGAUCUACGGCAAAUUUCUUCUCCUGAAUGAGAUUUUGAGCUGCUGAAAUUUUGGUGGGAACACGCUAAGAAAAUAUAUUCCACAUUUUUGACAUCUACCUGGCUUUAACAGGUAUGCUUUUCUUCCUCAUACUUAACUUAGUAAUCUCAAAAUUCUUUUAUGACUGAAAUUUUCAUAUCUCAGGUUUGAAGUGCAUAAAACUAAUUUUUUACUACAAUUAAAUUGAUGUAAGAGUGCUUGGACAUGAAAAUUCUGACCUGGCUGUAGAAGAUCUUUGACAGCUUUUGGCAUCGGGGAAUUUGGCAGUACAGUUUUCCAGUAAAGCUCAGGAGAAAUGGCAGCAUGACUUGCCACCAGUGCUAGCUGCAAGACAAGUCAGUCCAAAAUCUUAUUAGAAUAAAUAACCUAUUAAAGAGAGGCAAAUGCAGAAUUCCAAGGGAAGCUGUUUGUUCAGCAAUCAGGACCAUGCAAGUGAGUAGAAGCUUACACUG